CGGACACAGCAUCACAAAAGAACAUUAAAUUCGUAGAGAAGUGACAAGACAAAGGAGAAGUACUCUGAGCUUCUAGGAGUGGCAAAUUGUGGAAAGGUUCUUUACCACUAGCGCCACCUGGGAAGCCCGCUGCCUGCAAAGAAGCUUCCCAUCACAUCCAGGUACAGGCUGGACUCAGCACCUUAGAGACAGACUCAGGAACUGAUCAUCUGUGGACCACCUGUGUGUGCCCUGUAGCCAAAGACCACCAAGAACAAAGUUGGGUUUACUGAUCUUUUGCAGGGAGGGAGGCUGUGUACAUGCAGAUAAGGAGUCAUGGGGCCUCUCAGCACAAGGGACUUAGAACAGAACAUGGACUUGUGUUAAGUGGUGUGUGGGAAGUUUCAAGGAAGCAGGGGUUUGCUCUGGAUCGAAUGGUGUCAGGAAGCAGGAUUCUACCACCAGGAACUUUGGUUUUUAUACAGAAGGUGAGAUGAAGGCAUCAGACCUAAAGCCGUGGUUGUGAAGAGACAGCUGUCACUUGGGUUAGUUGAGUGAUUUCUCUCGUGUGGUCAGAGGCUUAGUUUGUCCCUGUGCUCAGACAUGACUACAGAAUGGUCUUGUUUUGUCAGGCUUGUCUGAAGUUGGUGAUGGGUGAGACUAGCUCUGUUUGAGAGGAGAACGUGGCACCUAGCUCUGAGUGCCUGGCUGGUGGGAGCUUGAUGCCAGGGACUACUUUCGUCUUUGUCAUUACAAACGCAAAGCUUUGAUCCUCCAGUUCCAGUCUUCUUUAUAUCCUAGUCCUGUAUCUUCAUGAUGGGAUAAGGAUCCUCACAUUUGAAGAGGAGGAGGAGGGACGGAUGAGAAUGAGGAGGGGGAUUUGCUUAUGGUGGGGGUGGGGUAAAAUAGUGUCUUAGCUUAGAGGAUUCAUAUCUCUGUAACCUAAAUGGAUCCAGGAUUCCAUUCCUCUGCCUGAAUAGAAUGAUAUUCCAAAGCCAUAUUAAGCAGACAAGGGAAGGAAUUAGGAUAACCUUUGUAUUGUAGGUGCCUUGUGAAUUACUGGAGGAAGUUCCAGGUCGAAGGGUGGGGCAGGCAUAAGAAGUGGCCA
ensembl:lncRNA